rnacentral:rRNA from 1 species
AUUGAACGCUGGCGGCAUGCCUUACACAUGCAAGUCGAACGGCAGCACGGGUGCUUGCACCUGGUGGCGAGUGGCGAACGGGUGAGUAAUACAUCGGAAUGUACCUUGUAGUGGGGGAUAGCUCGGCGAAAGCCGGAUUAAUACCGCAUACGCUCUGAGGAGGAAAGCGGGGGACCUUCGGGCCUCGCGCUACAAGAGCAGCCGAUGUCAGAUUAGCUUGUUGGUGAGGUAAAAGCUCACCAAGGCGACGAUCUGUAGCUGGUCUGAGAGGACGACCAGCCACACUGGGACUGAGACACGGCCCAGACUCCUACGGGAGGCAGCAGUGGGGAAUUUUGGACAAUGGGCGAAAGCCUGAUCCAGCAAUGCCGCGUGUGUGAAGAAGGCCUUCGGGUUGUAAAGCACUUUUGUCCGGAAAGAAAUCCUUUGGGUUAAUACCUCGGGGGGAU